rnacentral:lncRNA from 1 species
UAAAACAAAUACCUAUGUUUAUUCAAAAUCAAACUCAUUAAAAGUGAUCAAAAGAGUAUUGCAAUUCUUACCUCAACCAUAGCGCGACAUCGUACUAAAUUCGAAGAUCUCGCCCCCACCAUAUUACCUAAUUCUAUUCUACUUAUACAAAUUUAGAACUAAUCGUUAGUAUCUAUUAUCGGAAUCAAAUCUUAGGAAAACUAAAAUGCUUACCUUCAUAAUUUGGGUUUUGUUGUAAGCCUUUUGGGUUAAAGCCCAUGGUAUUGUUCUUAAUUUAACCCAUUAACCCUCGUUAAACUCCCUCGCAAAUACUUUAUUCUAACUUCUUAAUCAUUAUUCUUUAAUGUAUUCCUAUUUUUUUAUAUUUUUGAGAUAUUAGAUUUGCAUUUAUUGCUAAUAUUAUCAUCCUACUUCCCUUCACUGUUUAUUAUAAUUUUUCUUUGAUUAAAAAUUAAUUUUCUGGACUAUUAGCCCAAUCCUAGCCUUUGUUUCCUUAACCCAUAAAUUUUUCCUUUCUUAGGUAGGUGAAUAUUCUAUUCUAAAUGGGUCUUGGAUCAGAGGCCCAAUAAAACAUAUUUCAUUUUACUUAUUUGUAUGUAUAAAUUUAUAUAUUUUUAUCUAACCCGAAUUAUUUCUUUCCCCUGCAACCUGUCCAUAGAAACUUUGGUGCUCCUUUUUUUUAUUUUAAUUCUGCUUUAUUUACUUAUUAUAAUAUUUAUUUUAUUAAUUUUUAAUUUUUAAUUGGACCCGAAGCCCAACUCUAAUAGCCCAAAUUCUAUUUUCCUUAUUAUUAUUAUUAUUAUUGUUAUUAUUAUUAUUAUUAUAUUAUAUUUUUUUCUUACUAGCAGACCCAUCAGAGGGUUUAUUGGGCUCGGGUUUGAUAUAAGCCCACCAUGGAAUUGGAUCUAAAACCCAAUGGUUACACCGACCUGAACCAACCCAACAUCAAAACUCCUUCCAUCAUCUUCAACCUUUGAAAAUAUCAAUGGUACUUUAGUUUUAAUCCCAACCGCCAUCUACAUAACAGAACAGUCAACUCUUUCAAGUUUUGCUUAUUUAUAGCAUAAUACAUCAACAAUAUUCACAACAGUCAAUAGUUAUUACAAAUCAACAGCAAACAAAGAAUCUAAAUCAAAUAUAUUAGCUUAGAUCUAGGAAUUUAGAGUAUAAGCUACUCUUACCAGAAUUUCAAAUAGAAAAGAAGCUCGCUCAGAUCAGAGGGCAUCGCGUCGUGCACCAGGUCAUCGUUCCUCAUUCUCAUUCUUCUCCUUUGCGACCAACGGGUCGCGCAGCACCUCGGGGCCAUGCAACCCACCUCUCUUUGGCUGCCGGCUCAACACUCCUCGACCUCACAUGCUGCGCACACCAGGCAAGGAUCUUUUCCUUUUCAGCCUCCCUCCUCCUUCGGCUGCUCGUUCCUCCCUCUUCUCCCUCUCUUUUCUCUCUCUCUCUAUUUUGGCUCUCCUCUUCCGAAUUUGAGGAAAAGUGGUUAGGGUUUCCUUUUUUAUACCUUUCAUCUUAACCGUCUGAUCGUCCUAGAUCCAAUCUGAGCUGUUCAAGCAUAUCUGAAUUGAGAGCUGUUGGAUCGGCUCCAAACGUUGAGAUCUUGGCCGUCCAUUUUUUAUCUUUGUAUCUACCCCUUCUAUUCUUUGUUAAUUAUGGUUUUAACCCCAUUUUCCAUGAAAAUUAUUCUUUUAGGUCUCAUAAAUUUAAAAGACCUCUAAUUUUAAAAAUUUAUUCAGUUAAGCCCCAAACCCUUAAUUUAAUUGAUUUAAUUUCUAGAUUUUAAAUUUCUUCAUAUUUAUUUAAUUAUUUACAAUCUUUUAAAUUUAUAUUUAAAAAAAAAUGGAUAUUACGACUUUCUAAAUUUAUCUCUUAAUUAAAAAUGAAGAGAUAAAUUAAAUAACACUUAGAAAAAAAAUUAAAAUAUUAUAAUAUAUAAGCAUAUAAUCCUUUGUCCCUUAGAGUGCCUCAUAACCGUCUUUACAACUUUCUAGUGUUUAAUUCCUAGAUCACUUUGGUAUCUUCCUAACAUACUAACAACAUAACUGAUAUUUCGUUUAGUAUAAGUUUGAGCGUAUAUCAAGCUUCCCACAACAGAUGUAUAAGUAUUUUUUUUUCAUCCAUUCCUUUUCUAAGUCAUUCAUUG